CAAAUUUAAUAUUAAAAAUAAAGGCAGCUAGAAUUGAGCUAUUAGUAAACCUCUUGUGAUCAAAAGAAAGAAGAUUUGAAAGAGAAAACCGUCCGCAAGUUAGAUCCACGCGCGACUCUAGCGCGUGGAAUAUAGCUAUUAGUUUGCCUAUCUAUUGUACAUAUCUUGAGAAAUAAAAUUUAGAUUAUAGUAAGAUAUCUCUUUUCCAAUGGAAACUUGAUAAAUUUUCCCUUUGAUUUUUCUUUUGACUAC
rnacentral:sRNA from 1 species